rnacentral:tRNA from 1 species
GUACAUAUAGCUCAGUGGUGGAGUGCAUGCCUAGAAUGCACGAGGUCCCAGGUUCAAUCCCCUAGUACCUCCA